rnacentral:tRNA from 1 species
GGACCCAUGGCGCAACGGUAGCGCGUCAGAUUCCAGUUAGUACAACUCGGAAGUUCCUGAAGGUUAAGCGUUCAAAUCGCUUUGGGUUCA